GGGGCAUUAUUAUCAAAACAUAAAACUCAAAAAAACCCAUCAAAAUCCUUCAAUACCAUCUCUGUAAAAAACCCUUCAAAUUUCUAAAUCACGAUGCUGGAGAUUUCAAAAAUCAAAAGAGGAAUACGAAGAAUCAAUCUCGCCCAAUUUGGAUUCGAUUGAGGUCAUCUUCGAUUUGACUGAUUAUGAACAGUUGGCUAAUGUAAUAAGCGAAAAACUUUACUCUUCUUAUUCAGAUCACAUGUGUAUAGUCUACUUGAAAUCAGUGGGUCACACAAAAUGAAAAGACAUAGAAUCUGUGAAACCUCAAAAAAUUAAGUUGGCUUGAGCAACAAAGGAAAAUGGCAUUGAUGUGGAGUAUUUGUAAUGAGACACAUGAAGACCUAUAAGGAAAGUCGCGUGAAAAUUGGGAAUGCGGUUUCGAAAUGGAGAAAAUCCAAAAAAAAAAAACGGAUAAUCGAGCUUCCUUAGACAAA